ACUUCCGCUUCCGCCGGGGAGGAGCCGGGCCGCAGACAUGAGUCGCUUCAAGUUUGUGGAUAUUGGUAUCAACUUGACAGAUCCUAUGUUCAGAGGAAUUUAUAGGGGAGUUCAGAAGCAUCAAGACGACUUACAAGAUGUAAUAGAAAGAGCUGUCCAGAUUGGUGUUAAAAAGUUUAUGAUCACAGGUGGAAAUCUGCAGGACAGUAAAGAGGCACUGCAUUUGGCACAAACAAAUGGUAUCCUCCUCUCACUUUGACCCUCUCCCCCCAUAUGAAUUAAGUUCUUUUGAAGAACUCUUUCUAUAACUGCCUCAGGUACAAUACAACGGAUCAUGACUGGAAACAACAGGAAAACGGACUGAGUGUAACAGGGUGUGAUUAAGAUGAAAGGGUUCUGACACUGAUAUAUCAGAUGUUUGGUUAAAUCCUCUCUCAUCGUACUUAAGGAUUAUUUUAAGAUUUCCUUAAUGAGAAUUAAGUUCACCAGGUAUAUAAUUUAGUCUCCAGUAUUCCUGAUACAGGAUUUUUGUGUGUAUGCUGUAAUGUGUUCAGGAUGGGAGUUGCUUUUAUUUUGCUUUUUUUAAACUUAAACUGUGAAGGAUCAUUUAUUAAGUAUGUAUCAUGCAGACCACGGUGGAAGGCCCCAGGAAUGCAAGUAAUAAUGUAUCAUCCCUCAGAUGCUCACUUUAUGUUACACGUUUUGCAUUUAUUUAAAAUCUAUAAGGUUUGGAAUUGGUUCCAAAGGGAAUCCUAGUUACACAAAACAUCUCCUUUAUCUGGCAUUCAUUUUACCUCACCUUUUUUUGGUUUUGUGUUUUGUCAUACUUCACGUGCUAGACUUUGAAGAAUUAGGCAUUCUAUUUUAUUUUUAAAAAUACUGAUUUACUUACUAAAAGCUAUUUUGGGGGGUACCUGGGUGGCUCAGUAGGUUAAAUUCCAGACUCUUGGUUUCAGCUCAGGUCAUGGUCGCAUGGUUCGUAGGUUUGAGCCCCAUGUCGGGCUCCGUGCUGAUGGUUUGGAGCCUGCUUGGGAAUCUCUCUCUCCCUCUCUCUCUGCCCCUCCCCUGCUUGCGCUUGCUCUUUCUCUUUCUCUCUCUCUCUCUCUAAAUAAGUAAACAAAAUAUUUUUUCAAAAGCUGUCUUUUUGUGGCAAUCUUUCUAAACUGCGUACUUCUCUUCAGGAUCCACUGACACUUUUUCUUAAUGAUUAAGAUAAAAAUAACCAUCUUCCCAGAUGCCUUGGAGGUGUAUAAGAAUAUUGUCUUCUAUCCUUUUUAUCCCCAGAGAGAUCUAUUUUCAAAACUUCUUGAAUCUUCAUUGUCAGCCCUCUUCACUCCCCCCUUCACGAACCUGUGUUCUCACUGUUUAAAAACCUCUGCCUCCUCUUAUAUGUAAACACCUGCAGGAGAGGCUGAGGAAGGCUCCCCACCUCUCACGUGGGUUCAGGUGCAAACCACUCAGAAGCCCUUUUUGACUUCACGUUGGUGUUUCGUGCAAUUACAGUUAUCAAGACAUGGUCUGCAAAUAAGUGAGCUUAAUUCUUUAUCAGAUAAACAAAUCUCCCUUCCACCUCCUUAACUCACGCUUUUUAAGCAUGUUUAAAUUUUAAUUGUCAUAUUAACUAUGUGAAACAAGAUGGUCACAUGAAUAGUGAGUAUAAAGAUAUAGUUAGGUUAUGACACUUCAUUCUGUAAGAAAUUGUUUCAUUUUCCAUUCUGUUAGGCUGAGUAAAUGCCAGGCUUUGGAAAGAGGUGAAUUAAUUAUUUUUACCAGUCUGUUAAGGCAAUUUUCAUAUUCCUGUCCUGCUUUGCUAAGGUAUUCCAAAAAUUCUUACAUGAUUAACUUCAUGCCAUUCUGGCAGUUUGAAUAGUUUAUGGCUAUUAUUAAAAAUUAGCCAGCUGAAAGUAUUUGUCAUUUAAAUAUAAUAUGAAAAAUACUUUGGAAAUAAUCCUAAGACAUUAUUUUGUGCUAGAUAUGUUUUUCAGUACAGUUGGAUGUCAUCCUACAAGAUGUGAUGAAUUUGAAAAGAAUGACCCUGAUCUUUACCUAAUGGAGUUGUUAAAUCUCGCUGAAAACAAUAAGGGGAAAGUUGUAGCAAUAGGGGAGUGUGGACUUGAUUUUGACCGACUACAGUUCUGUCCCAGAGAUACUCAGCUCAAAUAUUUUGAAAAACAGUUUGAACUGGCAGAACAAACAAAAUUACCAAUGUUUCUUCACUGUCGGAACUCACAUGGUGAAUUUCUGGACAUAAUGAAAAGAAACAGAGAUCGGUGUGUAGGUGGAGUGGUGCAUUCAUUUGAUGGUACCAAGGAAGCAGCAGCUGCCUUGAUGGACUUGGAUCUCUAUAUAGGAUUUAAUGCUCACUGAAAACUGAGGCUAAUUUGGAAGUUUUGAAGUCAAUACCUAGUGAAAAAUUAAUGAUUGAAACUGAUGCACCUUGGUGUGGAGUGAAAAGUACACAUGCUGGGUCAAAAUAUGUAAAAACUUCGUUUCCUACCAAAAAGAAGUGGGAAAAUGGGCACUGUGUGAAAGACAGGAAUGAACCCUGCCAUAUAAUUCAAAUACUGGAGAUAAUGUCAGCAGUGAGAGAGCAGGAUCCACUGGAAUUAGCCAAUACACUAUAUAACAACACCAUUAAAAUCUUUUUUCCUGACAUGUAAUUAGUGUGUCCUUUCCAUUUUCCAUCAUGUAUGUAAAAUUUCAUGGUAAACCUUAAAGGACUGAAUAAAGAAAUGCUCUGGAAGUUGAA